CCGAGUUUACAACUCCCAAACCCCUGUGAACAUACCACUUGUUGCCUCGGCGGAUCAGCCCGCUCCCGGUAAAACGGGACGGCCCGCCAGAGGACCCCUAAACUCUGUUUCUAUAUGUAACUUCUGAAUAAACCAUAAAUAAAUCA
rnacentral:misc_RNA from 1 species